AUGUAGGGCAAUCUGUCUUUAAGUAGGGGUAAAUUACUCUUGAACAAGAUGAUCCUAGAUAGUUUUCCCUUCAAGUCAAGCGUCUUGU
rnacentral:pre_miRNA from 1 species